AGUGAACGCUGGCGGUAGGCCUAACACAUGCAAGUCGAACGGCAGCACAGUAAGAGCUUGCUCUUACGGGUGGCGAGUGGCGGACGGUUGAGGAAUACAUCGGAAUCUACUUUUUCGUGGGGGCUAACGUAGGGAAACUUACGCGAAUACCGCAUACGACCUACGGGUGAAAGCAGGGGAUCUUCGGACCUUGCGCGAUUGAAUGAGCCGAUGUCGGAUUCGCUAGUUGGCGGGGUAAAGGCGCACCAAGGCGACGAUCCGUAGCUGGUCUGAGAGGGUGAUCAGACACACUGGAACUGAGAAAGGGUCAAGACUCCUGCGGGAGGCAGCAGUGGGGAAUAUUGGACAAUGGGCGCAAGCCUGAUCCAGCAAUACCGCGUGGGUGAAGAAGGACUUAGGGUUGUAAAGCCAUUAUGUUGGGAAAGAAAAGCAGCACGUUAAUACCCCGCUAUUAUGACGGUACCCAAAGAAUAAGCACCGGCUAACUCCGUG
rnacentral:rRNA from 1 species